GCCAUUGUGGUGCAGUGGUCAGCACACUCGACGCGUAUUCCAGAGAUCCGUGGUUCGAGUCUCGGCGAGGGCA
rfam:Stegodyphus mimosarum contig102248, whole genome shotgun sequence.